GACGUUGUGGUAGAAUGGUUAUACGACGGAUUGCAAAUCCGUGACGAUGCUGGUUCAAGUCCAGUCGACGUCUCCA
rnacentral:tRNA from 10 species